rnacentral:rRNA from 1 species
UACGUAGGGCGCAAGCGUUGUCCGGAAUUAUUGGGCGUAAAGAGCUCGUAGGCGGUCUGUCGCGUCGGCUGUGAAAACCCGGGGCUCAACCCCGGGCCUGCAGUCGAUACGGGCAGACUAGAGUGCGGUAGGGGAGACUGGAAUUCCUGGUGUAGCGGUGAAAUGCGCAGAUAUCAGGAGGAACACCGGUGGCGAAGGCGGCCCCCUGGGCAGUAACUGACACUGAGGCGCGACAGCGUGGGGAGCAAACAGG